AAUAACUAAAAGUACAACCUCUCUUAAAUAAUUAAAAAAGUGAAUUCACGGUGUUAAGAGUUGAUAAUCUGGUUGAUGGAUUUGUGUGUAUUAUCAACGAAAAGUGAAUUUCAUUAUUCAUAAUCUCAAAGCCUCAAACAACACAUAAUACACAAAGAAUCGAUUGCUUUUACUUUACAGCACCACAAAUGGGAAGCUUCGACUCUUCUCCCUGUCUUCACGCACCACUCUAGUUUCGAACUCGCGGCGUGGAAUGCCUCGUCAUUUUGGGGUGCCUCUAGUGGGUGUGGAAGCAUUGUACCUACAUUGGUUCCUUUGACAGCGAGAGCUGGGCCACCGCCAACAUAUUCGACUCCGUCCCACGUCUCUACCGCAUCAUACUCACUAUCUACGAAC
rnacentral:lncRNA from 1 species